UACAGAGGUCCCAAGCGUUGUUCGGAUUCACUGGGCGUAAAGGGUGCGUAGGUGGUGGGGUAAGUCUGAUGUGAAAUCUUCGAGCUUAACUCGGAAAUGGCAUUGGAAACUACUCUGCUCGAGGGUUGGAGGGGGGACUGGAAUUCUCGGUGUAGCAGUGAAAUGCGUAGAUAUCGAGAGGAACACCAGUGGCGAAGGCGAGUCCCUGGACAAAUCCUGACACUGAGGCACGAAAGCUAGGGGAGCAAACAGG
rnacentral:rRNA from 1 species